AUUGAACGCUGGCGGCAGGCCUAACACAUGCAAGUCGAGCGGAUGAAGGGAGCUUGCUCCUGGAUUCAGCGGCGGACGGGUGAGUAAUGCCUAGGAAUCUGCCUGGUAGUGGGGGAUAACGUCCGGAAACGGGCGCUAAUACCGCAUACGUCCUGAGGGAGAAAGUGGGGGAUCUUCGGACCUCACGCUAUCAGAUGAGCCUAGGUCGGAUUAGCUAGUUGGUGGGGUAAAGGCCUAUCAAGGCGACGAUCCGUAACUGGUCUGAGAGGAGGAUCAGUCACACUGGAACUGGGACACGGUCCAGACUCCUACGGGAGGCAGCAGUGGGGAAUAGUGGGCAAUGGGCGAAAACCUGAUCCAACCAGGCGGCGUGUGUGAAGAAGAUCUUCGGAUUGUAAAGCACGUUAAGUUGGGGGGAAGGGCAGUAAGUUAAUACCUAGCGGUUUUGACGGUACCGACAGAAGAAGCACCGGCUAACUACGUG
rnacentral:rRNA from 1 species